rnacentral:rRNA from 1 species
GACGAACGCUGGCGGCGUGCUUAACACAUGCAAGUCGAACGGAAAGGCCCUGCUUUUGUGGGGUGCUCGAGUGGCGAACGGGUGAGUAACACGUGAGUAACCUGCCCUUGACUUUGGGAUAACUUCAGGAAACUGGGGCUAAUACCGGAUAGGAGCUCCUGCUGCAUGGUGGGGGUUGGAAAGUUUCGGCGGUUGGGAUUGACUCGCGGCUUAUCAGCUUGUUGGUGGGGUAGUGGCUUACCAAGGCUUUGACGGGUAGCCGGCCUGAGAGGGUGACCGGCCACAUUGGGACUGAGAUACGGCCCAGACUCCUACGGGAGGCAGCAGUGGGGAAUAUUGCACAAUGGGCGGAAGCCUGAUGCAGCAACGCCGCGUGCGGGAUGACGGCCUUCGGGUUGUAAACCGCUUUCGCCUGUGACGAAGCGUGAGUGACGGUAAUGGGUAAAGAAGCACCGGCUAACUACGUG